rnacentral:rRNA from 1 species
UACGUAGGGGGCUAGCGUUGUCCGGAAUCAUUGGGCGUAAAGCGCGUGUAGGCGGCCCGAUAAGUCCGCUGUGAAAGUCGGGGGCUCAACCCUCGAAUGCCGGUGGAUACUGUCGGGCUAGAGUGCGGAAGAGGCGAGUGGAAUUCCUGGUGUAGCGGUGAAAUGCGCAGAUAUCAGGAGGAACACCAAUGCGAAGGCAGCUCGCUGGGACGUAACUGACGCUGAGACGCGAAAGCGUGGGGAGCAAACAGG